AGGACAGCUUCCCCUCUGGGGCUGGGAAGACGUGGACAGACAAGGGCCAUCCUCGGGCAGCCCCAGAGACCUCCCCUCAGCUAGAGGGGGCUAGGGGUCACGGCAGUGGAUGAAAAGGGCCUUCACCAAUCCGGGAAAGAUGUCCUGCGGCAGCCCCCCUCCGUCCCUCCGCCUCCCCGUGUCAGCAGGAACGCCACCAAAGGGGCGGAGCUCUCCUGAAGACCCCGCCCUCAAACAGCUGAGCAUUAAGUUGCCCCCUGCCCCUCUGCAUUCCCUUCCUUUCAACGCCCGCAGAGACCACCCCCCAGCCGGGGAGCUAUUAUCUCUUCCAUGUGAAAGGUAUCCCUACGGACCACCGAGCUGACUGCAGGUCAUCAGCAGUCUCCUUCCGGCAACUCCUCCAGGAAACAGCGAGGACGGGAUGAGGAGCCAUGUCUCAGGCACCCUUCCUGGACACCAGACCUGUUCUUCCUUCCCUGUUCUGACCCUGCUGCAGUGAGAAGUCCCGACUGUUAGAGGCCGCCUCCACAGCCACUACUGCCCCCUGCUGGCCAAGCCGUGAUGUUCAAAGGAUGCAACAGGCCUGCCUUUGCUCUUUGUACCCCUGGGUUCCACUCUUUGGAAGAAAUUGAGUAACAAGAAGCUGACAUAUUGGACUGCUUCUGCCCCCAGCCUGCUCUGGACUCCCUCGGAGGAAUGUUCCUUUAUGCUCCUUCCAAGAAAAGCAACGUCUCAGAGGGGUUCCUGACUCUGCUGUCUUGCUGGGCCUGGGAAGGGGAGACUGUUUCCUACCAGGAAAGAAUGACCAGGGCAGGCAAGUAGAUCCUUAAGGGAAGCCCUUAAAGACUUGGGGACAGUGAAGAGGGAGGCAGGGGAGCAGUUAAAUCAGGAAUACCCACUGGCCUACAGAAGGCCCAGGUGUUUUCCUCCCAAGUCCCCGUCCCUGAGGAAGGACUUGCGGGCACGGCUGGUGGGAAGGGCUUGCAAUGGAGCCUCCAGCACAAGGCUGUCAGGUGCUGGGCAGGAAGAAUGCUCUGUGGACUCAGCAGGUGGGAGUUUCAGCCCAGGGUCAGACCCUGAAGUGUGCACCGACCCUGCCUGGGGCCUUCCCUGCAGGAGACUGUCCACUGAGCAAUCCACUCAGCAGGCCUCUGGGGUGUCCACGCCUAAGAUAUGGAAGCCAGGAAGUCCAAUGCUGCAGUGAAGAGUUCAGAAAACUUCCACGCAUUCAUGGGAUUCCUCUGGUUUCAAAAAUUAACACCCAUAUCUUUUGAGCCAUUUGUGAUUUUCAUUUCUCAAAUUCACUGUUAAAUUUUACCUUAUCCAACCAAAUGACAGCGACUGAAUGAGCAUCCACUACACUCACUGGGAGCUGGGAGCUGGGGAUUCUGCGAUAAAGAGCCCAGGACCACUCCAAGAAGUUGCUCGUCUUCCAGGUGCAGGGGCCGUGAUGGGACACUCAGCACAGAAAUGGAGUUAUGGAAGCUGACGGGAGCCAGUCGAAUCAUUGUCUGGAAAACCUGUGAAUGGAGCUGCCAUUCUCUUCAGAGUCAGCUGAGAGGUAGAGUCCCCUGGGGAUCUGUGGUGUUCCCUGAAGUUGCUGGAAGGAAGGAGUCGGGGGACUGGAGACGAUGCAGCAGCUCAUGCCCAAGAGCCUCCAGCCUUCCUGUCUUGCUCUCUGCCUUGAUGGUGAGUCAAGAGGAGCAUCUGAUAACAGAAUAUUCACCCUGCAGCUGCCCAAGCACAGGGAAUCCAGAUCUCCAAGGACCUUCCAAAAGCACAAAGCGCGCCAUCAGGAGUGGGCUGCAGCCUGCCCAUCCCGGGAAUGCCGCCUGCAUCUGCAGGCCCGUCCUCCACGCCUUCCCAGGGCUUGUCCUUCUGAAAAGGAAUGACCGAGCAGGGGCAGCCCUCAGACCUGGUUAAAGCUUCCACUGAAAUGAAGAGGAGCGCCUACUCUCUCCCUUCCCAACGCACCCUCCAUACCCAUCACCCCUGGCCUGCACCAGUCGUUCUCCGGGGAGGGCCCGUGGCCUAUGUGCCAUCUCCUCUGCUAUCUCUCCAGGCAGUUCCAGGCUUCAGAUUCGUCAAGUCCCCAAGAGAGGACCAAUAUUAGUUUGCCAGUUUUGUCUUGCCAGAAGUCAAGAAUCAGCCACCAAUAAUUAUUAAUUCCUCACAUAUGUACUAAAGGCAAAAGGGAUUGGCGAUGUUCUGGCAGUCCCCACCCAGGUUACCUGGAGGUCCAUCUCCUCCUCUGGAUCCUUCCCGAGACCGCACACCUGCUCCCCGCAGAUUCACCCUUGAGGUGACGUAAUGACAGGGGCUCAUUCUAAGAGGCAGUCUGGAUCCCUUAGAUCUCAGUUCGAGUUUCAGUUUCGGUGAUGCAGGAAGAUGUUGACAGGAGAUCUCUAGGUUAGCCAUAAAGAUUUUGUCAGUGGGCAGUAUGAACGCCCUAAAAUUUUUAUGCAUCUAAGGGAAGUUCUGUGCUUUAAGUCCACAACUAAUUUUCCUCCUCAGGUCCUAUAAUACUGAAGGCCAAGAGCCAGGGAGUGAGGUUUCUUUUUAAUGAACUUUUCCGGCCACCGGAGGCAUGCAUGCUGAUGGGCCCUGGGGGUUGGAGGGUUGGGGGCAGGACUGUCAGGUGCAGCUCCCGGGCAGAGUCAGGUGAGGGCAUGAAGUGACAGGUGUGACUUACUGCUCAGUUCCCAACCACUUGGUGACCUGGGGAUUCUGUUUCAGGAACUAAUUUCAUUCCCACCAUUGAAAAAACCAAGAGGAAAAUGGUGCUUACCAGGGGGUGGAGGGUGGGGAUGGGGUGGGUAAGAGUAAAGGUGUUUAACGGCGCAAACUUGGCGCAUGUAGUGAAUAAGCCAUAAUGGUCUGAUGCACAGUAUAAUGAAUACAAACAGUAAUAUUGCACUACAGGUAUGUAACAUGGUAAAUACAACCACAAGGAUCAUGUAUAUUACAUAUUACAAUAUAAAUGUAUGAAGCAGCCCGUUGUACACCUUCAACUUACACAAUGUUACAUGUCAAAUAUA